rnacentral:misc_RNA from 1 species
GAUGAAGAACGUAGCGAAAUGCGAUAAGUAAUGUGAAUUGCAGAAUUCAGUGAAUCAUCGAAUCUUUGAACGCACAUUGCGCCCGGCAGCAAUCUGCCGGGCAUGCCUGUCCGAGCGUCAUUUCUUCCCUCGAGCGCGGCUAGCCCUACGGGGCCUGCCGUCGCCCGGUGUUGGGGCUCUACGGGUGGGGCUCGUCCCCCCCCCGCAGUCCCCGAAAUGUAGUGGCGGUCCAGCCGCGGCGCCCCCUGCGUAGUAGAUCCUACAUCUCGCAUCGGGUCCCGGCGAAGGCCAGCCGUCGAACCUUUUAUUUCAUGGUUUGACCUCGGAUCAGGUAGGGUUACCCGCUGAACUUAAGCAUAUCAAUAAGCGGGGA